UGCGAAGGGGGCUAGCGUUGUUCGGAAUUACUGGGCGUAAAGCGCGCGUAGGCGGUUUUGCAAGCCAGAGGUGAAAUGCCUGAGCUCAACUUAGGAAUUGCCUUUGGGACUGUGAGACUUCGAGGACUGGAGAGGUGAGUGGAAUUCCCAGUGUAGAGGUGAAAUUCGUAGAGAUUGGGAAGAACACCGGUGGCGAAGGCGGCUCACUGGCCAGUUGCUGACGCUGUAGCGCGAAAGCGUGGGGAUCAAACAGG
rnacentral:rRNA from 1 species